CAGAUGCUUUUAUGACUAUACACCCUGGUAGGGUGUGGGGGUGAUAGCAAGGGAGAAAAAUCUGAGUUUUGCUGGUUGAGAACCUUGCUCUUACCUGCUCCACUGGGAAACUGGAAGGGAAAGCACAAAAGCCAGCCAGAAUGGGAAAGGAUCGGGUCAGCACCAGGAGAAAGAAGGCACAACUCCUCCCCCUCUCCCUGAGCCAGAGGUGAAUUGUAAUCUUAAGGGCGGUAUCAGGCCUAGUUGACAUUUAAAGGACCCUUCAGAGGAGGCGGAGAUCAUAGGAGACCAUUGAGCUUCAUGCUUCUUCAGUGAACCCCUCCAGACACACAGCUAAGGUAACUCUGAGCAGCUAAGGUUAGUCAGUUACUGUGAGCAAGAAAGAGAUCAUUCCCGCUUCUGGUGAACUCACUCCACAUUCAGAAUUCUUUGUGAAUUUCAAAGAAUGCAAGGUUGGAGAUGUAUGUGUUUCCUUUCACAAGGAUGCAUCUGUAUAAAAUACUCUUCCUGUAUUUUAUAGGCAAGUAAUCACUGGUUUCUCCAGCAACUUCUGUGGCUAAUAGUGCUUAUGCUCACCUGAUGCUGGUUUGCCAGCUACAGCUGUUCCUGAUCAGGAUCACCUGGUCUCAGUUGUCUAUGCUCUACUGCAAUAUGCCCUAUGUGGGGCUGCCCUUGAAGACAGUCCAGAGUUUGCAGCCAGUUCAAAACAUGGUUGAUUUGUGCCCUUUUUCAGGGUGAUUUAUUUCCUCUUCUGGGGCAAUGCGUAAGGGCUGCCCUAUGUUUUGACACUCGGAGAAGCCCAGCCUAGUGGUCUGAUGAAAAUGUAACUUCUACGCUCUGAUCGUACAGAAACAGCCAGUAAUAAUGUAUCAAGACUAAGAAUGUUCCAGAGAAAGCCAUGCAAACGUAAGUCUAGAAAUA